UAUACUAAGAGGCUAAAUUAUAUCUAAAAGGUUAAAAGGUGGUUAGACAACUAAGUUUUAAAGCAUUAUUACUUCUAUGUAAGGGUAAAAUUUACAUAGUAGGGAGUUAUUGUAGUGGUUUAUAAGUUUGUUGAGGCUAUUAAAAUUUUGAAAGAAACUAGGAUUAGAUACCCUAUUAUUCUUAAUUUUAAAAUUUUUAUAUGUUACCUGAAUAGUACGAAUGAGAUAUUUAAAAUUCAAAGAACUUGGCGGUGUUUAUAGACUCUUUAGGGGAACUUGUCUCAUAAUCGAUAGUCCCCGUUAUACCUAACUUUUUUUUGUUAAUGCAGUUUGUAUACCAUUGUCGGCAGGCAACUUUUUAGAACUAUAGGAGUUGGCUAAGUAAUUUUAUGUUAAUAUGUCAGAUCAAGGUGCAGCUAAUAAAGUAGUGAGGAUGAGUUACAAUUAUUAAUUUAUAAUUACGAAUAGGUUGUUGAGAUGAAACUCUCUUUUGAAGGAGGACUUAAAAGUAAAAUGCUGAUUUGAGAUAUAAAAGCGUGUUGAAUAUUGCUCUUAAAUGUGC
rnacentral:rRNA from 1 species